GGCUUUAUAAUGGGGAUGAAUGUGGAAUGAUAAUCUAACCGGGUCUUUAAGUGAAGCCUUUGGUGAGUAGUAAAGACUAAUAUCUGUCAUCACUCUCAUUAGAACUGUUACGAGACAUAGCGUUUUUCAGCUUGGUACCACUGUAUUUCAGCUCAUUAUUGUUGCUUUCUGCCUCAGUAUGUCCAUUUGGUUGCCUCUUGUUAUCUGACUCAAAAAAAAAUUAGUUCGUUGUUUCCACUUCCUCGUCGUGAUCCUGUUUAUUUUGUUGUUAUUUCUUUCUUUUUUAUGCUACAGAUCGUUGGUUUGAACAUGACCUUGCUUUUCUUUUUUAUAAAACUUUAUUUUAUUUUUCUUAUGUUUUUUGAUCAUACUCAGUCUCUCAGCCAUCGUUUGUGUAUAACCAUUUUGUUGACCCUUGACCCUAUCUUGCAGAUUCUGUUUGUCUUUGUUUCAUUGCCUUUUCACCAUUCCUUUUCAUUCUCUUAUUGUUCUAAUUUUUCAUCAGCUUCCCCCACUAGCAGAGUCAUAUUAAUUGUUUUCGUAUUCAAGCUUUUGAUAGUAUCCCCUUAAAGGUGAUUUCUCAUCCUCUACACCUAUCCAGACAUUGUCCAAAUGAGAUUUCAACAAGUGGAUUUCAACUUGAACCUUAGACAUGCUCGGUCUAGUUCAUCCAUGUGUAGCAACAUCCAUAGCUAAGGGAGUUCCAAUAGAGCUAACAAUUUG
rnacentral:lncRNA from 1 species